ensembl:lncRNA
GUUAAUUGUUAAAAAGGGCAACUGUUCAGACCACUGCAUUAUAAAGGAUCCAAGCCACAUGCAGCAGCCCUGGAAGAACCUAGAAGAAAGAUUUCCUGGAGUGGGGAGAUAGAUAGAAGAUUGAGCACAUUCUGGAAAUCACCCAGCAGACAUGGAGAUAGACCACUUGGAUGAUCUUCAAGAAAGAACUUGCCCUUCAUCUGCAGAAGCAGCAAACUAUAGGGGAGGCACCCCCUGAGAUGUUCCUGGGCCUCUUAGUCUCACUGCUGACACUUAAGGGAUUGCAGAGACGCCUGAGAUGACCUCCAAAUUUUCUGAAGCCCAUCUGGUCUG